rnacentral:rRNA from 1 species
UUAAAUUGAAGAGUUUGAUCAUGGCUCAGAUUGAACGCUGGCGGCAGGCCUAACACAUGCAAGUCGAACGGUAACAGGAAGCAGCUUGCUGCUUUGCUGACGAGUGGCGGACGGGUGAGUAAUGUCUGGGAAACUGCCCGAUGGAGGGGAUAACUACUGGAAACGGUAGCUAAUACCGCAUAACGUCGCAAGACCAAAGAGGGGGACCUUAGGGCCUCUUGCCAUCGGAUGUGCCCAGAUGGGAUUAGCUAGUAGGUGGGGUAAUGGCUCACCUAGGCGACGAUCCCUAGCUGGUCUGAGAGGAUGACCAGCCACACUGGAACUGAGACACGGUCCAGACUCCUACGGGAGGCAGCAGUGGGGAAUAUUGCACAAUGGGCGCAAGCCUGAUGCAGCCAUGCCGCGUGUAUGAAGAAGGCCUUCGGGUUGUAAAGUACUUUCAGCGGGGAGGAAGGGAGUAAAGUUAAUACCUUUGCUCAUUGACGUUACCCGCAGAAGAAGCACCGGCUAACUCCGUGCCAGCAGCCGCGGUAAUACGGAGGGUGCAAGCGUUAAUCGGAAUUACUGGGCGUAAAGCGCACGCAGGCGGUUUGUUAAGUCAGAUGUGAAAUCCCCGGGCUCAACCUGGGAACUGCAUCUGAUACUGGCAAGCUUGAGUCUCGUAGAGGGGGUAGAAUUCCAGGUGUAGCGGUGAAAUGCGUAGAGAUCUGGAGGAAUACCGGUGGCGAAGGCGGCCCCCUGGACGAAGACUGACGCUCAGGUGCGAAAGCGUGGGGAGCAAACAGGAUUAGAUACCCUGGUAGUCCACGCCGUAAACGAUGUCGACUUGGAGGUUGUGCCCUUGAGGCGUGGCUUCCGGAGCUAACGCGUUAAGUCGACCGCCUGGGGAGUACGGCCGCAAGGUUAAAACUCAAAUGAAUUGACGGGGGCCCGCACAAGCGGUGGAGCAUGUGGUUUAAUUCGAUGCAACGCGAAGAACCUUACCUGGUCUUGACAUCCACGGAAGUUUUCAGAGAUGAGAAUGUGCCUUCGGGAACCGUGAGACAGGUGCUGCAUGGCUGUCGUCAGCUCGUGUUGUGAAAUGUUGGGUUAAGUCCCGCAACGAGCGCAACCCUUAUCCUUUGUUGCCAGCGGUCCGGCCGGGAACUCAAAGGAGACUGCCAGUGAUAAACUGGAGGAAGGUGGGGAUGACGUCAAGUCAUCAUGGCCCUUACGACCAGGGCUACACACGUGCUACAAUGGCGCAUACAAAGAGAAGCGACCUCGCGAGAGCAAGCGGACCUCAUAAAGUGCGUCGUAGUCCGGAUUGGAGUCUGCAACUCGACUCCAUGAAGUCGGAAUCGCUAGUAAUCGUGGAUCAGAAUGCCACGGUGAAUACGUUCCCGGGCCUUGUACACACCGCCCGUCACACCAUGGGAGUGGGUUGCAAAAGAAGUAGGUAGCUUAACCUUCGGGAGGGCGCUUACCACUUUGUGAUUCAUGACUGGGGUGAAGUCGUAACAAGGUAACCGUAGGGGAACCUGCGGUUGGAUCACCUCCUUACCUUAAAGAAGC